GACGAACGCUGGCGGCGUGCCUAAUACAUGCCAGUAGAACGCACAGUUUAUACCGUAGCUUGCUACACCAUAGACUGUGAGUUGCGAAUGGGUGAGUAACGCGUAGGUAACCUGCCUGGUAGCGGGGGAUAACUAUUGGAAACGAUAGCUAAUACCGCAUAAUAUUGAUUAUUGCAUGAUAAUUAAUUGAAAGGUGCAAUUGCACCACUACCAGAUGGACCUGCGUUGUAUUAGCUAGUAGGUGAGGUAACGGCUCACCUAGGCGACGAUACAUAGCCGACCUGAGAGGGUGAUCGGCCACACUGGGACUGAGACACGGCCCAGACUCCUACGGGAGGCAGCAGUAGGGAAUCUUCGGCAAUGGACGAAAGUCUGACCGAGCAACGCCGCGUGAGUGAAGAAGGUUUUCGGAUCGUAAAGCUCUGUUGUAAGAGAAGAACGGGUGUGAGAGUGGAAAGUUCACACUGUGACGGUAUCUUACCAGAAAGGGACGGCUAACUACGUG
rnacentral:rRNA from 1 species